UGCUGGUUCUUCUAAGUCUCAUUGAAAGUCAUUUUUCCAGUGACUGGCAGAUUCAGUGACUUUCAAUAGGACUUGCACUCCCAUGUCACUUAGGUGCUUUAAAAAUGUUACUCACAAUGUUUAAAGACAACUGAUCCACAGAUUCUGUGAGCAGUGCAGAUGCAUUAUGGGGAAGAGCUGCUGUAAUGCAGGUUGAAAUGGUUACAGAAAUGAAAGACUGGAGAAUCAGACCCCUUCUUUGAGCCUGGAAUGGAUAUGAGGAUGGCCUCUGAAGACAAUACACAUUACUUAAAGGAAGUGGUUGUCCGUGCAGUUCCAUUGUGUUUCAUUUUGCACUCAGCCCUUCUGGAGAAGGGGUGUUAUAUAAGGCAAGAUCAUUACCAUUUGUUCUAACUGAAAUAACAGCAUUUGAGGUCAGUUUUAUUUGCAUCA